GAUGAACGCUGGCGGCGUGCUUAACACAUGCAAGUCGAACGGUGAAGGCGGAGCUUGCUCUGCUGGAUCAGUGGCGAACGGGUGAGUAACACGUGAGCAAUCUGCCCCUGACUCUGGGAUAAGCGCUGGAAACGGCGUCUAAUACUGGAUACGAGCUGCGAAGGCAUCUUCCGCAGCUGGAAAGAACUUCGGUCAGGGAUGAGCUCGCGGCCUAUCAGCUUGUUGGUGAGGUAACGGCUCACCAAGGCGUCGACGGGUAGCCGGCCUGAGAGGGUGACCGGCCACACUGGGACUGAGACACGGCCCAGACUCCUACGGGAGGCAGCAGUGGGGAAUAUUGCACAAUGGGCGAAAGCCUGAUGCAGCAACGCCGCGUGAGGGACGACGGCCUUCGGGUUGUAAACCGCUUUUAGCAGUGAAGAAGCGAAAGUGACGGUACCUGCAGAAAAAGCGCCGGCUAACUACGUG
rnacentral:rRNA from 1 species